UGUGAAGAGACCAACAAACAGGCUUUGUGU
rnacentral:piRNA from 1 species